rnacentral:rRNA from 1 species
GACGAACGUUGGCGGCGUGCUUAAUACAUGCAAGUCAACUGAAGCAGUGGUAGCAAUCUCGCUGUGGAGGUGGCGCACGGGUGAGUAACACGUAGGUAAUCUGCCUUCAGGUCUGGCAUAACUCCGGGAAACCGGGGCUAAUAGCAGAUGAUGCAGCGGCUCGACAUCGAGACAGUUGUUAAAGCUAUGGCGCCUGAAGAUGAGCCUGCGUCUGAUUAGCUAGUUGGCGGGGUAACGGCCCACCAAGGCAACGAUCAGUAGCUGGUCUGAGAGGAUGAUCAGCCACACUGGAACGGAGACACGGUCCAGACUCCUACGGGAGGCAGCAGUAAGGAAUAUUGCUCAAUGGGAGAAAUCCUGAAGCAGCAACGCCGCGUGAGGGACGAAGGGCUUUUGCUUGUAAACCUCUGUAGUGAGAGAAAAAAAUCCCAAUCUUUGGGACAUGAUGGUAGCUCAAAAGUAAGCCCCGGCUAACUACGUG